GUGAGACAGGUGCUGCAUGGCUGUCGUCAGCUCGUGUUGUGAAAUGUUGGGUUAAGUCCCGCAACGAGCGCAACCCUUAUCCUUUGUUGCCAGCGAUUAGGUCGGGAACUCAAAGGAGACUGCCAGUGAUAAACUGGAGGAAGGUGGGGAUGACGUCAAGUCAUCAUGGCCCUUACGACCAGGGCUACACACGUGCUACAAUGGCGCAUACAAAGAGAAGCGACCUCGCGAGAGCAAGCGGACCUCAUAAAGUGCGUCGUAGUCCGGAUUGGAGUCUGCAACUCGACUCCAUGAAGUCGGAAUCGCUAGUAAUCGUGGAUCAGAAUGCCACGGUGAAUACGUUCCCGGGCCUUGUACACACCGCCCGUCACACCAUGGGAGUGGGUUGCAAAAGAAGUAGGUAGCUUAACCUUCGGGAGGGCGCUUACCACUUUGUGAUUCAUGACUGGGGUGAAGUCGUAACAAGGUAACCGUAGGGGAACCUGCGGUUGGAUCACCUCCUUACCU
rnacentral:rRNA from 3 species